rnacentral:rRNA from 1 species
AGAGUUUGAUCCUGGCUCAGGAUGAACGCCGGCGGUGUGCCUAAUACAUGCAAGUCGUACGCGUUGGCCCAACUGAUUUGAAGUGCUUGCACGGAUCUGACGUUGGUUUACCAACGAGUGGCGGACGGGUGAGUAACACGUAGGUAACCUGCCCAGAAGCGGGGGACAACACUUGGAAACAGGUGCUAAUACCGCAUAACAAUUCAAAUCGCAUGAUUUGAAUUUGAAAGAUGGUUUCGGCUAUCACUUCUGGAUGGACCUGCGGCGCAUUAGCUUGUUGGUGGGGUAAUGGCCUACCAAGGCAGUGAUGCGUAGCCGAGUUGAGAGACUGAUCGGCCACAAUGGGACUGAGAUACGGCCCAUACUCCUACGGGAGGCAGCAGUAGGGAAUCUUCCACAAUGGGCGCAAGCCUGAUGGAGCAACACCGCGUGAGUGAAGAAGGUUUUCGGAUCGUAAAGCUCUGUUGUUGAAGAAGAACGUGCAUGAGAGUAACUGUUCAUGCAGUGACGGUAUUCAACCAGAAAGUCACGGCUAACUACGUGCCAGCAGCCGCGGUAAUACGUAGGUGGCAAGCGUUAUCCGGAAUUAUUGGGCGUAAAGAGAGUGCAGGCGGUUUCUUAAGUCUGAUGUGAAAGCCUUCGGCUCAACCGAAGAAGUGCAUCGGAAACUGGGAAACUUGAGUACAGAAGAGGGCAGUGGAACUCCAUGUGUAGCGGUGGAAUGCGUAGAUAUAUGGAAGAACACCAGUGGCGAAGGCGGCUGCCUGGUCUGUAACUGACGCUGAGGCUCGAAAGCAUGGGUAGCGAACAGGAUUAGAUACCCUGGUAGUCCAUGCCGUAAACGAUGAAUGCUAGGUGUUGGAGGGUUUCCGCCCUUCAGUGCCGCAGCUAACGCAUUAAGCAUUCCGCCUGGGGAGUACGACCGCAAGGUUGAAACUCAAAGGAAUUGACGGGGGCCCGCACAAGCGGUGGAGCAUGUGGUUUAAUUCGAAGCAACGCGAAGAACCUUACCAGGUCUUGACAUCCUAUGUCAAUCUGAGAGAUCAGACGUUCCCUUCGGGGACAUAGUGACAGGUGGUGCAUGGUUGUCGUCAGCUCGUGUCGUGAGAUGUUGGGUUAAGUCCCGCAACGAGCGCAACCCUUAUGACUAGUUGCCAGCAUUCAGUUGGGCACUCUAGUAAGACUGCCGGUGACAAACCGGAGGAAGGUGGGGACGACGUCAAAUCAUCAUGCCCCUUAUGACCUGGGCUACACACGUGCUACAAUGGAUGGUACAACGAGUUGCGAACCCGCGAGGGCAAGCUAAUCUCUUAAAGCCAUUCUCAGUCCGGACUGUAGGCUGCAACUCGCCUACACGAAGUCGGAAUCGCUAGUAAUCGCGGAUCAGCAUGCCGCAGUGAAUACGUUCCCGGGCCUUGUACUCACCGCCCGUCA